rnacentral:rRNA from 1 species
AGGACGAACGCUGGCGGCGUGCUUAACACAUGCAAGUCGAACGAUGAUCCUCAGCUUGCUGGGGUGAUUAGUGGCGAACGGGUGAGUAACACGUGAGUAACCUGCCCUUCACUCUGGGAUAACUCCGGGAAACCGGUGCUAAUACUGGAUACGACUCGAACAGGCAUCUGUAUCGGGUGGAAAGAUUUAUUGGUGGAGGAUGGACUCGCGGCCUAUCAGCUUGUUGGUGAGGUAAUGGCUCACCAAGGCGACGACGGGUAGCCGGCCUGAGAGGGCGAUCGGCCACACUGGGACUGAGACACGGCCCAGACUCCUACGGGAGGCAGCAGUGGGGAAUUUCCGCAAUGGGCGAAAGCCUGACGGAGCAAGACCGCGUGAGGGAGGAAGGCUCUUGGGUUGUAAACCUCUUUUCUUGGGGAAGACAAAAUGACGGUACCCAAGGAAUCAGCAUCGGCUAACUCCGUGCCAGCAGCCGCGGU